GUAGGUGGCAAGCGUUGUCCGGAAUUAUUGGGCGUAAAGCGCGCGCAGGCGGUUCUUUAAGUCUGAUGUGAAAGCCCACGGCUCAACCGUGGAGGGUCAUUGGAAACUGGAGAACUUGAGUACAGAAGAGGAAAGCGGAACUCCACGUGUAGCGGUGAAAUGCGUAGAGAUGUGGAGGAACACCAGUGGCGAAGGCGGCUUUCUGGUCUGUAACUGACGCUGAGGCGCGAAAGCGUGGGGAGCAAACAGGGAUUAGAUACCCUGGUAGUCCACGCCGUAAACGAUGAGUGCUAAGUGUUAGGGGGUUUCCGCCCCCUUAGUGCUGCAGCUAACGCAUUAAGCACUCCGCCUGGGGAGUACGGCCGCAAGGCUG
rnacentral:rRNA from 1 species